CUCUGUGCGGGCCGUGUCGGCCGCCGCUGGCCGGGGCGGGGUGCCCUGUCCCAGUGAGGAAGUGAAGUGUCUGGAGGCGAGGGGAAGGCGGGCCGGACCGCGGCCCGCCGCUUUCGUACGAGCCCCGGCCGGGAGACGGCUGCUUCUCCACAGGCUGGCCGGGACGCCUGCCAAGUUAUGGUGUAUGUUGCCCUUAAUCCUAGGAGGGAGAGAUUGAAAUAGCAGCGGACUUCCAAGUUUGCCCUGACUCUUCCGCUCUGUGCAGAUUGCCAUACACUCAGCAUUGCUUCUUUGUUAUCAGAUGCCCAAAAUGAAUUUUUCUUCUUGAGUGAAAUCAUCAUGCCUACCAGCUGUAGAGAAACCUCUAAAGUCAAUCACAACAACGUAGUUUGUGAGAAUCCUGCAGUUCUUGAAGCUGUUCUUCAAGUACCUUCUCCAGCCCUUCAUCAAUGUUACCUGCUCCCUUUUUCUCAAACAUGAAGGUAAGAAAGAAGGAACAGAAUCAGAAACAGUGGUGAAACACAAUUGUGCUAUUUUCAUUCUGCUGCUAAUUGGUAAUAUAACAAAUUUGGGAAUGUGAUUAUAGAAACAUAAGAGGAGGAGAAUAGUGGACUUGAUCUAGGUCCAUUCCAGGCCUAGAUCCUAUUUUCUGUGCAGGACAGUACUGUAAUGGUGGCUUUUGCCACGUACGCAGAUUCAAGAGACAACUGAGAAUUAAUCACUUCAUCACCUUUGAUACACUGCUACAGUGCCCAGAUGUCAUUUGAUCCUAACUCUUACUAACUUCAGCUCCUUUUUAGUACCUUUAGCUUAGGUACGGUACUGAGUACAUGGUAGUAAAUAGAGAGUAAG